AGCCACGGUCCAUGCCACCCUGAACAAACUCGAUGUCUGAUCUUGGAAGCUAAGCAGGGUCAGGCCUGGUUAGUAUUUGGAUGGGAGAUCACCUAGGAAGACCAGGUGCUGUAGGAA
rnacentral:rRNA from 1 species